rnacentral:rRNA from 1 species
UUGAGCUCAAACACCUCCCUAAGUAGUAAGACUUUAAAGUUAAAACUUAAAGAACAUGGCGGCUUAAAUUAUUCAGGGGAACUUACUACAUAAACGAUGAUCCACGAGUCCACAUUCCUGUUUUCAGAGCUUAUAUACCGCCGUUUAGUACUUAAUUGAGUUAAGCACAAACAAAACCCUUUUUUAAAUCAGGUCAUGGUGUAGCAAAUAAACAGGUGUAAGCGAGUUACAAUAAAAAUUCUUUUCGGAUAAGUUCUAUAAAUGCUAUUAAAGUUGGACUUGAAAGUAAAAUUAAAUAAAAAUAAAAUUUGAAUUUUUUAUUUAAGUGU